GACGAACGCUGGCGGCACGCCUAACACAUGCAAGUCGAACGGAGAAAAUGAUUUCGGUUAUUUUCUUAGUGGCGGACGGGUGAGUAACACGUGAGGAACCUCCCUCUGAGAGUGGGAUAGCUUCUGGAAACGGAUGGUAGUACCGCAUAACAUAGCGAAACCGCAUGAUUUUGCUAUCAAAGUAUUUCGCUCAGAGAUGGCCUCGCGUCUGAUUAGAUAGUUGGUGAGGUAACGGCUCACCAAGUCGACGAUCAGUAGCCGGACUGAGAGGUUGAACGGCCACAUUGGGACUGAGACACGGCCCAGACUCCUACGGGAGGCAGCAGUGGGGGACAUUGCACAAUGGGGGAAACCCUGAUGCAGCGAUGCCGCGUGGAGGAAGAAGGUUUUUGGAUUGUAAACUCCUGUCGUAAGGGAAGAGAAAGGACGGUAUUAUAUGAAUAAGCACCGGCUAACUCCGUGCCAGCCGCCGCGGUAA
rnacentral:rRNA from 1 species